rnacentral:misc_RNA from 1 species
CUUAGACCAGUGCGAUCCGUUACGUCGCGAACGUUAGCGAGUAAGCCGUCUCACAUUUCACAUAUUUGACACAGAAUUCAGUGUACCACAACACAAACAGUAAGGGCGGAAACGAUGGCAUCAAACUUCGUUUUGAAAAAACCUGUGUUGCAGCAACUGUGACGAACUGCAGGAGCUUGUGGUAUUAUCCUGUUACCAUGGUAUCUGCAAAACCUGUCUCAAAGCUGGUGAUCGAACAAAGGAUGGGAAAUCAGUCACGUUGUGUCCAGUUUGUAACACGCAAGUCACCUCAUCAGAAGUAAAUGAUGAUCUUCGAUCACAACUGAAUACGUGUAUGAGUCAAGCCUUUCAAUAUUUUGGAAAAAAUGUAUUGAAGACGGAAACAAGCUCCUGUAGCAUUUGUUGUUUACGAAACCUGCACAACGAAGUGACCCACCAGUGUCUCGACUGUGGCGAUGUUCUGUGUGAUGUCUGCCAGAAAGGACACUGUGCAUCAAGGAUCACACAUGAUCAUAGGGUGGUACCUAUUGAAGAUGUGAGGAGUGGGAAGUUUGUGGUAGCUGAGGCACAGGCAGCCCUGCCCUGUAGUAACACGACACACAAGGGAGCCACGUGUACUUACUUCUGCCAGACUUGUGGCAAACUGAUGUGUGAAUUGUGUCUUCUGUUUGAACACAAAGGUCAUGAGAUCCUACCGUUACAAGAAGCUGCCAGACAGUGUGGGAAACAGCUGGAAGAACAAUCGGUAAAACUUGAAACUUACCUCACUGAGAUAACAUCAGUGCUUGAAAUGAACAGCAGUCGGCGUGAGAGUAUUAUUGCAUCCCGAGAAGACACUCUAAAAAUACUGCGGGAGAAGACUCAGGCUAUAGUAGGUUUGAUUCACGAACAGGAGCAAAAGGCUGUAGAUAAGGUGACACGCUUGUGUGAGAGUCAGCUCCUCCUUGUCAGUACGAUGAACUACAAAUUGGAUCAAAUUACAAAACUAUGCCCAAAAGUGUUGUCGCUUACUCACUCAGUUCUUGAAGCCAGAGAGGAUCUCCACUUGCUUCUUCUUUGCAAUGAUCUUGAGAAAUGUUUCAAAGAAAGUCAACAAUUACAGGAUUCGAUGCUAGCUUUUGAAAACAAAUGGAAGAUACCCAGGUUCAAUGUGAAGUGUGAUUUUCCAAAUAGCUCUGUUAUCGGUAUAAAACAGUCAUUUGUCAGUCCACAUCUGGUGCAAGAAGAGAGCAAGGAAAGAGUUAUCUUGUCAGAUGAUGCAAAUGGAGGUCAGAUCACUUCAGCUCAUCCAGGUGGCAAGCAGUCAGUCAAGUCAUGCAAUGCUGAAGACACUUCCACCCAGAAACAAGCUCGGCCCACCAGACCACAAGGUAAAGUCGGAGCCAACAAGCAACACCUGCCUACAAAGGAUCAGAUGGUUAUCUGUAGUAAUGGAAUCUUGACUGACACAGUGCAUAGUAAUGAUACUGAAGGCAUGUCAGGUUAUUCCACACAUGAUGAUACAUCACUUGAGGAAUCUGAGGAUGGAUUCCAACUGACCAAGUCUGUGGUGAUAGUCGGUAAAGGAGGAACGCAGUUGACAAACAGUCUUCCAGGAUCUCAAACCACUGUCAGAAGCAAAGAGUCUGGUUCUGGCAUUGGGUCCAGAUUGGAAAAAUAUGAAGAGCUGACCUCUCAAGGAUACAGUGUCCUUGCGGCUAAUCCAGUUCUUGUGGAGAAGCGGUCACCUCAGGAUGGACAUAAUGCCCAAUCUGACAAUCCUGACAACUCUAGAAGCCCAGGUCAACGCAAUGUCAGAGCUCUCCAACUUCAAAAGACGAACCACUAUCAUUUGAGGGUGGUGAAUGAUAAAACAGAUCCGGAGAUCAAAGGUUUGGCAGUUGCCUCAGGUAAUACAACCAUUGCAGACAACGGGAACAAGAAGAUUCGGCUGAUUGACAAGAAGGGACAUUCAGCAAACAUGACCAAGAAUAUAUUGAAGGACAACAUACCUGCUCAUGCCCUUGUCCAUCUUGGGCAUGUGGUUGUUUAUAUUUGUGGCUCUUGUAUCUACAUUGCUGAUAAAUCUCUACGAACCCAGUUGGUAAUACAGCUGAAAAUUGAUAAAUCAGCCUGUCGUGGGCUGAUUCUGUGCAAAUACACAGAUACAUCGUUUAUGGUCGGGAAUCUUCCUGAGAACCUGGUGCGGGUGUACAGUAUUAAUGGUCAACUGAUGUCCACGAGACGGGCUCCUGUUCCUGGCCCAAUAACAGCCAUGUCUCUGACCAAUGAUGAGGAUAUCCUGUUUAGUUGUCCAGGAGCUGUGUCACAGAUCCAGAAGUAUGGUAACGUAACUCAAGUCUUCAGACCUCCAAAUAUCUCAGAUUGGUUCCCAGAGGGCACCUGUAUGGACAGGUGGAACAACUUGUAUGUUGCCAAUUCGAGACAGAAUCAAAUCCAUGUGUUUGGCCAAGGGGGUGAACAGCUUUGCAUCCAUUCAACGUUGAGUGAUAAUCUGGAGUCACCUCGGUGUUUAGCAAUAUCAUUGGACAGACUGAUUGUUUCAGGAGAUCAUCCACAUCUGUUUGUUUAUACCAUUCUUGAAGUGUAAAUACAGGUCUGGUUGUGUGGAUUCAUGAUGUCUCUUUUCAGGAACACGUCCAUUUGUGUGGAUACAUGGUGUGUAUUUGUGUGGAUACACGGUGUGUAUUUGUGUGGAUAGACGGUGUGUAUUUGUGUGGAUACAUGGUGUCUAUUUGUGUGGAUACAUGGUGUGUAUUUGUGUGGAUACAUGGUGUGUAUUUGUGUGGAUUCACAGUGUGUACUUGUCUGGAUACACGGUGUGUUUUUGUGUGGAUACAAAGUGUCUAUUUGUGUGGAUUCACUGUGUAUUUGUGUGGAUACAUGGUGUGUAUUUGUGCGGAUUCACAGUGUGUAUUUGUGUGGAUACACAGUGUGCAUUUGUGUGGAUACACGGUGUGUAUUUGUGUGGAUACACAGUGUGUAUUUGUGUGGAUUCAUGGUGUGUAUUUGUGUGAAUACACGUGUGUAUUUGUGUGGAUACACAGUGUUUAUUUGUGUGGAUACACGGUGUGUAUUUGUGUGGAUUCACGGUGUAUUUGUGUUGAUUCACUGUGUAUUUGUGUGGAUACACUGUGUGUAUUUGUGUGGAUACAUGGUGUGUAUUUGUGUGGAGUCACAGUGUGUAUUUGUGUGGAUACAUAGUGUGUG